CAACUCAAGUGAAGCGGUGCCCAAGUGAAUAUUCCCCGCUGUGCUGAUUGAGAAAGUAAAGCCUAAAGAGUGUUCCAAGGCUGCCCCCUCCUUGUGUUCAGGCUGUCUGUGCUUCCUGCCUGCCUUGACCCGUAGCAAGUCAAGCACAAGGGUCUUGGGGAGAGUCAAAGGCACCCUUCAUAAAGGCACCCUGGGGCAGUGUCCCUCCAGAUCCCUCAGGAGAUCUUCAAAACUGGCCAAAGGCUGGAGCAGUGUCCACGUUCUCCGACCUCAAGCAGAAGCUUCUCAUGCCGCCGUGUCCUAACCCAGGUACCCAGAAUAGCCCCAGAGACCUGGAGUCUCCAGAGUUAAGAAGAGCUCACGUUAUAAAAAUAAUGGGGUGCGAGAACCCCCUUUCUUCGCUCCAGGAUUUUGAGGGAGUGACAGAAGAUUAGGACCGAAGAUUUGGUACCCGCCCCCCCAAAUCCAGGGGGAAAAAGGAUAGCACAAUUAAGAGCAUAGGCUUUGGGGUCGUACUGACUUGAGAGAAUUGGCAAAACGGUGUUGAGCACGUAGGGACCAGUCUCUACAUCAUGUCUCAGCAGAGCAUGAGAGUACCCUUCCCACCUGUCGUCAUGGUGACAAGCGAUGAGACAGGCACGUAGGGCCUUAGUGCCUGACCCAAAGCCCGUGCUCGGUAAAUGGAGCCCGGUGUCCUGAAGUUUUCUCCACUUUGGCCAGUUUACCUCUCCUGCUCCCAACGCUCCCCGGCACGUACAGGUCUCCUCACGGGUGUCCCGACGGUGCCUUCGUUUCUGAAGCUCUAGGGCCCAUGACAAGCUCUGUGCGCUCAAAUUCCUGGAAACUUUCCCAGGAAGAUUUGGGAUGCAGAGAUGUGAUGUGGAAGAAAACAGAUGGACUUGGUUCUCCUGAGGUAUGGACAGUGAAAGGUCAGGUAGGGGAGAGCACGCACCGCGCCAAGAGGCCCCAGCCCAGGAGGCCUCUUCCUCCCAUCUCCAGCCAGCUCCCCCGCAUCGCACGCCCGCCGGGUACGCAGCCAGGAACAGGUGGACAGCGCCGGCUGAGCCCUAGGGCUACGGGAUUAAGCCAGCACUCGGUUCCAUCAAGGCUGAGCCAGUGACAUCAUCCCUAUAUAUGAAAGGUGACAUAUUUGUAAGCGGAGACAUGAAGCGGGGCCAUGAGAUCACCCAGGCCAACACCUGCCGUUGCCCAAAUAACUGGGCCAGAAGUGAAGUGUGGAAUUUGAGCAAAACAGAGCAGAUUUUGCCACUUCUCGUUUUGGAUAUUGCCCUCAUUCUAAUAUAGAAAUUCGCAAGGUGACCACUGCAAAAUCGUUCUUUGUUGUGAGAACCAAAUGUUUCCCCUAGAUAUUUUGAGAUAAAAUUUGGAUAACGUAAAUGCAUCCUAGGGAAAGCUGGUUCCCAUUUUAGGAAAGCAAACUCUGUAUCCAAGGACACUGGAUAAUUACACCCCUGAAUGUUUGUGUGCUAUUACAGUGACUACGAGGGAACUAGGUUCUCUCCCCUUUACUGUAAAUGGAUCUUACCCUAGCAUGUCAAGGCUACUGAAAUGUUAGUGCUACCUCAGCGUCAGACAAGGCUUCCCCUUAGAAGACCCCCAAACCACGGCCUAUGGAAAUCCAAAGCAUUCUCCCCCCGCCCAAGAUUUCUGCAAAUUCUUUGUCUCCAAAUUCCUCUCUCUGUACAUGUACACCUCUCUCUCGGACUUUCACAAAACCCCUUUCACAAAACUUUCACAAAACCACUUGAAACAUGGGACAUCUGAAAUUCAUAGACUUUCAUGGAAAUCUUGGAGAGGGAAAUGAAGGGGCUUACAUUGUAAAAAUACAAACGACUUCCCAAAGAACAGUAUCAUGGUUCUCAGGGUGUCCACCUCUAUGGGGCCUCCCUGCCCAAGCCCAGCCUUCUCCCUCCUCCUGGCUUUGUUCAACCUUGCCACUCUCUCCUCUCCACGUCUCUUUCCCCUCCUUCAAAGAAGAGAGAAAAGCAAUCCUCUGCCUUGUUCAUGGCAAAGAAGUUUUCCUUUUUCUACUGAUAUAUUGAUGCCUGGAGACAAAUGACUUCAAAAUCUUACCUACCUCAAUCAGCUUGAUAUUGUCCUUAAAGACAGAUAUUUCCACCAAAGAGAAUACCUUUUCACCUCCUUACAUGAAGUACAUUUCUGUUGUUAUAAUGUAAACCUUUGUAACUUCCCUGUGGGGUCAGAGGUGGUGAGUGGAUAAGUGAAGAAGGAGGAUGAAUACUACUGAGUCAGUAUCCUCUCUAUCACCAAUCAUCACCAUCACUGUCGUCAUUACCAUCAUCAUCAUCACCACCAUCACCACCAUUAUCAACUUCACUAUCAAAAUCACCACAUCACCAUCAU